rfam:Jatropha curcas cultivar GZQX0401 scaffold1_27, whole genome shotgun sequence.
GUUGCUUCUUACUGGUGAAGCCUUGUUUGUAUAAUCCAAGUGCGAGAUUUUUCAUGUUUCGUAAGCAUAUAUUGAACAGCCAGUUUUAAAUAGCACUGCAUUUUCUUAUUUAUGCUCUGUCAAGUAACAUUA